GGAAGUUAAAAAACUGUUUUUUAAUUUUUAACUAAAAAGUUAAGAACCGGUUCUUAAAUAAAGACUUUAAGAACCGUUCAUUAACUUUUUUAGUUAAAAGUUAAGAAACAGUUUUUUAAUUUCC
rnacentral:pre_miRNA from 1 species